rnacentral:tRNA from 1 species
UCCCUGGUGGCCGAGCAGUGAAGGAUCCAGCAUUGUCACUGCUGUGGCUCUGGUUACUGCUGAAGUGUGGGUUCAAUUCCCAGCCCGGGAA